UACGUAGGGUGCAAGCGUUGUCCGGAAUUAUUGGGCGUAAAGAGCGUGUAGGCGGCCCGAUUAGUCCGUUGUGAAAGUCCAGGGCUCAACCCUGGAAUGCCGGUGGAUACUGUCGGGCUAGAGUCCGGAAGGGGCGAGUGGAAUUCCUGGUGUAGCGGUGAAAUGCGCAGAUAUCAGGAGGAACACCAAUGGCGAAGGCAGCUCGCUGGGACGUGACUGACGCUGAGACGCGAAAGCGUGGGGAGCAAACAGG
rnacentral:rRNA from 1 species